rnacentral:rRNA from 1 species
GGUGCUUGCAUCAUGAUUUACAUUUGAGUGAGUGGCGAACUGGUGAGUAACACGUGGGAAACCUGCCCAGAAGCGGGGGAUAACACCUGGAAACAGAUGCUAAUACCGCAUAACAACUUGGACCGCAUGGUCCGAGCUUGAAAGAUGGCUUCGGCUAUCACUUUUGGAUGGUCCCGCGGCGUAUUAGCUAGAUGGUGGGGUAACGGCUCACCAUGGCAAUGAUACGUAGCCGACCUGAGAGGGUAAUCGGCCACAUUGGGACUGAGACACGGCCCAAACUCCUACGGGAGGCAGCAGUAGGGAAUCUUCCACAAUGGACGAAAGUCUGAUGGAGCAACGCCGCGUGAGUGAAGAAGGGUUUCGGCUCGUAAAACUCUGUUGUUAAAGAAGAACAUAUCUGAGAGUAACUGUUCAGGUAUUGACGGUAUUUAACCAGAAAGCCACGGCUAACUACGUGCCAGCAGCCGCGGUAAUACGUAGGUGGCAAGCGUUGUCCGGAUUUAUUGGGCGUAAAGCGAGCGCAGGCGGUUUUUUAAGUCUGAUGUGAAAGCCUUCGGCUCAACCGAAGAAGUGCAUCGGAAACUGGGAAACUUGAGUGCAGAAGAGGACAGUGGAACUCCAUGUGUAGCGGUGAAAUGCGUAGAUAUAUGGAAGAACACCAGUGGCGAAGGCGGCUGUCUGGUCUGUAACUGACGCUGAGGCUCGAAAGUAUGGGUAGCAAACAGGAUUAGAUACCCUGGUAGUCCAUACCGUAAACGAUGAAUGCUAAGUGUUGGGAGGGUUUCCGCCCCUUCAGUGCUGCAGCUAACGCAUUAAGCAUUCCGCCUGGGGGAGUACGGCCCCCAAGGCUGAAAACUCAAAAGGAAUUGACGGGGGGCCCCCCACAAACCGGUGGAACCAUGUGGUUUUAAUUUCAAACCUACCCCGAAAAAACCUUUACCAAGGUCUU